UGGGGAAUUUUGGACAAUGGGGGCAACCCUGAUCCAGCAAUGCCGCGUGUGUGAAGAAGGCCUUCGGGUUGUAAAGCACUUUUGUCCGGGAAGAAAUCGCACCUGAUAAUACCGGGUGUGGAUGACGGUACCGGAAGAAUAAGGACCGGCUAACUACGUGCCAGCAGCCGCGGUAAUACGUAGGGUCCAAGCGUUAAUCGGAAUUACUGGGCGUAAAGCGUGCGCAGGCGGUUGUGCAAGACCGAUGUGAAAUCCCCGGGCUUAACCUGGGAAUUGCAUUGGUGACAGAACGGCUAGAGUGUGUCAGAGGGGGGUAGAAUUCGACGUGUAGCGGUGAAAUGCGUAGAGAUGUGGAGGAAUACCGAUGGCGAAGGCAGCCCCCUGGGAUAACACUGACGCUCAUGCACGAAAGCGUGGGGAGCAAACAGG
rnacentral:rRNA from 1 species